UGUUUGCUUCAGCAGCACUAUACUAAAAUUGGAAUGAUACACAAAAGAUAAACAUGGCCACUGAAAAGAUGACAUGAAAAUUCAUGAAACAUUAAUUAUUUUU